GUCUCUCACUGGUUCUGCUUUCAAACCAGAACAACAACACAACAUCUCCCCCUUUCCUUUUUAAAAGAAGACAGGGGAGAGUUCUGGGGUUUAAAUAAAUUAAGGAAGGGUAUAAAUAUAACCAUACAAAGUUCAUACAAUAAAUACAAUGCUUUCAUAACAUACGACACGUUACUAAACUUACAGAGGAAUUUCCGAAACUAUUACAGAAAGGAUUAACUAAUCAUUGAUAUAACAUAUAAGGGAAGACUCUUCUUCACUUAAUAAACUCAUUCUAAAAUGCACGAAAUCAUUAAAGUCAUUAUGACACACAGAGGGAUUUACUUCUAAAUCAGGCAAAGUCACUGAAUGGUGAAAUGGUUUUGCCAAUUUGACUUUCCACCAGAUGUUUUCUCCUUUUUUGUGCCUUUACCCAUUUUACUAAUUACCAGCUGAACAAUACCUCAACUUAAAAUUAUUAACUUACAAAGAUAAGCUUUAUGGAAGUGACGUGAAAUAAAUCUUAAAUGAGGAAACUCUAGAAGAGGCAAGCUUAAAGGAACUCAGUAUUUGCAGUAACCAGGAACCAUAUCUAAACAAUUGAAUCUGAGAAUAAACUGGCUCUUGGUUACUGUGGUUUUUAACAAUUAAAAUUUCAUUUUGUUAAAACAAUUGUAAAAUAACAAAAGCUGGUCACGCCACUUGGCUGAUAGACUUUCUUCUCUGGUGACUUGAUAGGUGGCUAUUUCGUCUAAUGCCUGAGUCUACUCUUUAUUAUCAAACCUUGAUUAUCAUCCUUCCGCAGGGCCCUUUGCAAGAAAAUUGAUAACCAAGGUCUAAAGAGUAGUUCAAUAAACUUAUUCUUUAAAACUCAUUAAAACUGAAAAAAAUAUUAAUUAAAAUCUCCACUUAUAAUUCUAAAUUAUAAUAAAUUAACAUACAGUUUUGUGGGGACUACUCGACCCCUUGGAAGUAUAUGUGAAUGUCAAUUGCUUUUAACUUAAGCAAGGAAGAAGGCAGCAGGAAGGUUCGAGGGUACUAAAAAGAUUGGGGGGAGCCAGGGAGACGGUAGCAACCCUGUGCUUUCAAGUUUCUGCAGGCUGCUCCCUCCAAUCUCUUCAGCAGAAUAACUAAAAUUAAGGUAAGAAGAUCAGGUUUUAACAAACAAGAGUUGACAUUCAUCAUGCUUCUGCAAACUCAUAGCAAGAUAGAAAUCAAAAGGAACACCGGGUGGGGUACAGUUAGGGAAAUUGAUAGGGACCUUGAGCAGUCACUUCUGUAUAGUCAAGAAGUCAUUUUAUCUUGACUGUUUCAUUUUAUUUUGUUUUUGUUGUUUUUUUUUUUAAAUUUUAAUUUGACUGUUUAUUUUCAUUUUCAUUCAACUGUUUCUUUUAAUUUUCAUUCUGAUGAUAAUGAGUUUUCAACCAUGGGCAAUUUCCUAUUAUGUGUCCCUUCCUUUUGUAGGCAUAACAAACUUUUAAUUAUGGGGAUGGACAAACAUUUGCCCAGUGUUGCUUUUCUCCACAUUUAAAACAUGUUCUUAAUUGUUCUUUUUACUUCUUUCUUCUGAAUGGUUCCUUUUGCUUCUUUUUUUCCAAAUUUUUCAUUUUGCUUCUUAUUUGCCUGAUCAAUUAUCACAAAUGCUGAAGCCUGCAAAUCUAUGUAUUGGUAGCUACUAAUGUAGAAGAUGGGACAUGCCCUGGCUUUUCUGGCCCCUGCUGCUGAACCAAAUAGCAGCAACUGUGGUGUUUCACCCCAGAGACACUUUUGGCUAGCUGGAUGUUUCAGCGGGCGCAUGGAGAGAAGUCCAGGCAUGCCGGAGCUCAGGUGGCGGCGGGAUGGAAUUUCCUCUCAUAGAGGGUCUGCUCCUCAGGUUUCCCGCUGCCGGAGAGGCCUUAAAGGCGGUGGUGAAGGAAAGGAGUCGGUUCUGAUGGAGAGUUUAAUCCAGAGCUUUAUUCUGGCCCACAGGACUCUGAAUGUAGCAACAGAUCCAAACGGAACUACCGCAGGCCUCUGAAUCCAGUCAUUGCUGCAUCAGAACUUCCCAGACCGCGUGGCUGCUCGCCCUUUUUGCCUCGGGGAGGGGAGAACAGGAGGGGAUAGGGAGUCCACCAACCAGGUAUGCGAGAGGAUGUCUCAGGGGACAAAGGACACCUGGAUGGCCCAAUGUCCCCUGGGGGUGGAGGGCAUCCUUUGGAUCUGCCCAAUCACUCGACACACUUCUGUAAUGCCAGGAGUGACAGACAGUGCUCAGCAGGUGUUAUAAAUGAAAAUUGAUCCAGCCAAAUUAAAAAGAAAAAUAAAAUAUUUAUUUUGCAAUCAAAUUGUAUCUAGCCAGCCACAAGGAAAGAAUAGAACCGAGCCCGGGAUCGGUGCUGGGUGUGCAACAAAGAAGUUAGCCUCAGCAGACGGUCCCUCUAUGCCCACACACCAUCCUCCUGGUACAAGCAGUUUUUAUAGGGAAAAUUCCUCCUGAGGCCAGGGUUUUGGCAAUCAGUCCUUUCUUCCCAUUCAGAGUCCCAUACAUUGAUGAAAUUUCUUUUCUUGGCAUUGGGGUGGAACAAUCCAAUGUCCGUGUUGACGAAUCCCAUGAUGUAGUUACAGGAAUCUGGCAUUCCCAUGUAUCGGCCCAGAGGAUUUCCAUGACAUCAAUCUCAGGUCAUUGACACAAUGAUCAGCGCCUGGGCUCCCCGUAUCGCUUUGAGAUACGGCUCAUCUCCGGCCCAUGUCCGGCCAAGCCACAUCCAUUUACAUGUAAAAUCAAGUUUCAACAUACACCAAGUUUUGCCUGUGAGGGUGGGGGGGACUCCUAAUACAAGCGUGUGCACUCCAACAAAUAUUCAAUAUACUAGAAAUUGUGUGAAUUAUAUCUACUACUACACAUAACACAGGAGUCAGGGUGGGGAAAGGAGGAGUGAUUGACAUACCUGGGAGGACACCUUCAGGGGAGGAACCAGUGUUGGGGGUAAACUACGAAGGCACACUGCAACACUCAUACAAAGUUGACAGUCUUUUCCACAGGCUAAAAUUGAAGCCACAGGUGUUUUUGAUUUUGUGCCAAGGUCUCCAAGCCCCCUGCCAGGAUCUUGAGACAGCCAGGGCAGCCAGAGGGAUGUCCUGGGUUCCCACAUCUUCCCCUCCUCUUUGCACCAAAAACACCUCUUUGGCAGCCCUGUUCAUGGCCCACCACAUGCAUUGAAAAAGGCAUGACAAAAUGAGCAGAAGAAUUACAAGCCCUACUAAAAUGUAAAAAGCUAUUUUCAAAAGUUUCCUCCACAAGAUGAGAGGUCAAAAAAGUCAGACAUACCAUUCAACCAAGACCCAGUAACUUCUUUGACUUUUCCUAUACCUUCUUGCAAUUGCUUUAUGUUUUCAUGAAUUGAUUUUGAAUGAUCAGACAAGUUCAUGCAGCACAUCCCCUCAUGUUCUUCACACCCGUGCCCAUGUAUCAGCAAUAAAUAAUCAAUUGCUGCUCUGUUUUGAAGGUCACUCGUCUUACACUGUUGACAUCUGUUAACACGUCACUCAGUGCAAGAGAGAUGGCAGGAGCGUGCUUGCUCAGCCAGCAUCCCAUUCAUCCAAUUGAGCCAAGGCUACUCCUGAUGCUGUUUGUGGCGAGAAUAUUGCAGCCACAAUUCUCUGAGCCUUUUUCCAUGUGUGAACAUUAUCAUCACAAUUUGGAUCAUACUGUUCAACUUCUCUUUUCCCCCUACGUUUUUGUUCUUUCAAAAUUGUCAAGUCGGGUGUUAGCAAUGAAAGUUUUCCAAUGCUGCAUGGACCGCCUGUGACAUUUGCAGGGAUAGCAGGCCAAAUUCUGUCCCCAUAAAUAAAAAAAAUUCCUUGCAGCAAUUGCGCUGGAACUCGGUGGGAUGGUCUGUUUGACACCUUGGUGUAAUUGCACCAAGAAGAUGCAUUUUUAUAAAUGAAAUGGUUUGGGGUGGCAUCUAUCGUUCGGUUCUCUGCUUGUGUCACUCUUGAAAUGCCGAAUUCUAUACAAAAAUUAAUUUCCACCAAAUCAAGAAUUUCCAAUUCCUGAGGCUCAAAAGGAGCCACUGGGAGAAAUUGUGUCCAAACAUGCCAUCCGUCCACAGGAUUCGAAAUGACCUGUGAAACCUUUGGAGGGAUGUCCUUUGGCAUUGGCCAUUCGUUCACUGGCGAGCCUACCAAACAUGUUGAAAAUGGUUUUUUUUUUCGGUCUUGAGUGUGUCAAGCAGAUGGUGCCCAAACCUGCUGCAUUGGCCAAAGUUCCCCAAAUAUUUUCUUUUGGUUGGAUCAUGGGCAAAUCUGCCAAAUUGCCUAAGGCAACUGAAUUGUCUAAGGCAAUUAAAAAUAGAAUUAAACACAAAAGCAACAUCUGGACUUUGCAAUCCAAUGACACCCAAGUCCCAAAACUCUUGAUUGAAGAGAUGUUCAUGGUCUUGAUGCCUGCUCACGGCUGCGUGUUUGCCUCUGUGUUUUCGGAUUCAGUGUCUGCUUGUGUCUGGGUUCGAUAGGGCUUCACGUGUCUCGCCGAAACCCACUUUGGUCCUCGCCCUGUGGAGACAUGAGCGAAAUCUUUGCCCCAAGUUGUUAAUUUAAAAGGGCCUUCAAUCUGUCCUGAUUCUGGGUUUCUGAUCAAAACUAAAGGAUUCUUCCUUAGUUUUGCCUGUGUGCUAUUUGAAAAAUGCCUGAUGAUUGGUGGAGUGGGCUCUGAAAAAGAGCCACUUAGAAAAUUCAGCACAUACAAAGCCUUGUUCAACCACAUAUGAGGUGUUGCCUCUGCCUCCCCCCUUUUCUGUUUGUCCAAAAGGGAUUUCAGGGUGUGAUGUGUUCUUUCAAUGAUUGCUUGACCUGUGGGAAAGUGGGGAAAGCCAAAGGCAUGUCUGACACUCCACUUUUUCCAAAAUUUGUCAAGCAAUUUUCCUAUAUAAGUUGGACCAGUAUCUGGUUUUAUUUCUUGUAGCACUCCUAGUGACGCAAAUGCUUGUAAAAAAUGUUUAUAGUCAUGUUGUGUGCUCUCCCCUAUGUGUAAUGAUGCAAAAUCGCUCCUGAAAAAGUGUCAACUGAAACGUGAAUGUUUUUGAGUUUUUCAAAAGAUGGAUAUUUCAUGACAUCAGUUUGCCACAAUUAGAGACACUUCAGUCCUCUUGGAUUGACUGCUCCUGUGGAUGCAGGUGGGUGCAGAAGCUGGACAAACAGUAAUUAUUUCCCUCGCUUGGCUUUUGGAAAUGUGAAAGGAUUCCAUCAGUGCCCGUGCAUUCUGAUGAAAAAAUGCGUGGCUCAAUCUUGACUGUUAAAAAAAUGUCUGGCAAGGUCUCUGAAAUGGACAUGCCUAAUUAGUCUACAUGAGCAUUCCCGUCUGCUAAGAAUUCUGGAAGAGAGGAAUGCGCUCUGAUGUUGUCCUGGCUUGUAAGAUAAGUAUGUAUUCUAUUCACCAUCUGUUGGAGGUUGGGCAGUUUUCUUAUCUCUUCCAAGAAAAAUGUCUCCCUCAGGGAGAUAUCUUCUGUUAAUGGACCAUUUAAUGACUCACUGCAUGACUGGUAAAGUUAGAUCAGCCCAUUGUGAGAUGCUCCACACAGAGGGAGGAGCCCAGGAUCCUUACCUGCAUAAAAUCAGCAUUUUUGGGACACCAGGGCAGCCCUUUGCUGGAUUCCCAGAGGAGCAGCUCUCUUCCCCGAUGGAUCCCCAGAGGAAGACCAGGCCCAUCUACUCCAUCACCAGACCUUCAGAGAAAACGACACCCUUCUAGAGAUCACCGCUUCAGCAGCAUUUCAUCUGCCUCUCCAGGAGGAGCAGCUACCAUUUAACUGGACUAUUACCAACACCCUGACUCCUCAGGGUUUCAGGUUUCUGACUUUAUCAGUAGUUUUGUUUGUACUAAUUACAUUUUCUUUUAAAUGUGGGGGUUUUUUUUCCCCUACUAAAGAACUGUUAUUCCCAUUCCCAUAUCUUUGCCUGAGAGCCUUUUAAUUUUGAAAUUGUGGCAAUUCGGAGGGAGGGGGAUUACCUUUUCCAUUUCACAGGAGGCUCUUUCCUUCCUUCACAGACUCCUGUCUUUUCAAACCGAGACAGAUUCUGGCGCCCAACAUUGGGCUUGAGAGCAUUGAGAGGAAAAAAGGAUUAACAGUUCUUAAGUAAUUUAAAUUUUUUUGUGUGUGUGCUGAUAUAGAAACAUCUUUAAGUGCCACCAUGUGGUCUAGGGAAAUUUUCUCCCAACCUUUUAACAAUUUUUUUUUGUUCUGCUCUGCCAGUUUUCAAAGGGUUAAGAUCCACUCUAAGUGCUAAUGAUACCAUACAAUGAGUGGUGUUCCUGAUAUGCCUGUUAUAUUUAUAAGGGAAGAUUAACCUGGAUAACUACCCUGACACCUACACCAGAGACUAGGGAUGCUGCUGCAGAGCCUGACACUGCCCCAGAGACUGGAGAUGCUGCUGCUCCAGAGCCAGACCCUACCCCACAGCCUGCCUCAGAAAUUAACCACCCAGAUUGGGUGAGGGUUCUGGUUAAGGAGAUAAGAGAGAUGCUGAAGGAGUGCAUUUCCCCAGCUGGUGAGAAACCUGCCCUUUGCCUUGGAGAGGGACAGUCUAAUAGUACAGCUGUGGAACCCACAGAUGUUACAACUGUCUAGGUUCCAGCUGAACCACAAAGGCAGCCACAUCCAGCAGCAGUUGCCCCGGCAAAAAAAAAAAGAGGUCUAAUAUGAAGGCAGAGAACCUAGAUAAAUACAGGAAUGGAGGGACAUCACAACCCACAGGGAAGCCAGAGGUUGCAAUCAUCACCAAGUCCCUGAUGUACGAAAGUCUCCGUAAUCUGCACAAAGACAUUGUGUGACGUGGGCGUGAGGCUUAUACUACCUGGUUACUUCGGGUCUGGGACCUUAUGGGUACGGGCGUGCAGCUGGACAGUGGUGAGGCAAGGAACUUGGGACCCUUGACCCAGGACUCAGGUAUGAAUCAGAUUUUUGUAAGGGGGCCAGGGUCCCUUUCUCUCUGGGAGCGGCUUUUAAUGAGUGUCAGAGAAAGGUUUGUCCACAGGGAGAGAAUGCAGGAGCACCAGCAUAGAAUGCGCUGGGAGACCCCUUAGGAAGGGAUCCAACAGCUGAGGGAAGUGGCAGUAUUGGCAGUACUCUUUGAUAGACAGCAUAAUAAUGACCCCGACAAGGUCAGGUGCACAGGGCAAAUGCUGUGGAGUCUAGCAAAUCUUGGGCCAUCUCAGUACACCACUUUCAUUGCAACAAUUGACACUAACCGAGAGACAGUGGGCUCUGUUGCCAACAAACUUAGGAAUUAUGAGAGUAUGAUUAAUGGCCCAAUGCAGGCUCAUAUCUCAGCUAUGAUUGAGGAGUUCAAAGAGGAGAUGAUGGAAGAGAUGAGGAAGGUUAAUGCAGCACCUGUGAGAGUCACAAGCCCCAAAGUCAGAGCCCAACAUUCCCCAGCUAGAGAGAGAGGGUACACGCCAAGGGCUAAUCUGUGGUUCUUCCUGCGUGACCAUGGGGAAGACAUGGGGAGGUGGGAUGGGAAACCCACUUCUGUCCUGGCAGCAUGGGUGCGUCAACUCAAGGAGGGAAAGUUCCACCAAGGUGAAGGUAGCCUCAACUUCUCAUGACCAAGCUUUUGGGUACAAUCUGUCAGACUCCCUUGAAGGGGGCCUCUAGUAUGUAUGCCCAGGAAAGGAAUAAUAACCAUUGUUAGAGGGGCCCUGUCUCUAGCCAAGGAGAGGCACGGGAAAACCGGAUCUUCUGGACAUUGUGGAUCCGAUGGCCUCGCACCCACAAAAAUAUGAUGCUUUAGUUGAUACUGGCGCACAGUGUACUCUGAUACCAUCAGGACAUGUGGGGGCAGAGCCUGUUUCCAUUGCUGGUGUGACCCUGGUGGAAGCCGAGGUGAGCCUGACUGGGAAGGAGUGGAAGAAACAUCCUGUAGUGACCGGCCCAGAGGCCCCAUGCAUUUUGGGCAUAGAUUACCUUCAAAGGGGGGCAUUUUAAAUACCCAAAGGGACUCAAGUGGGCAUUUGGGGUAGCAGCUGCAGUGACAGAGGGCAUCCAGCAAUUGAACAACUUGCCUGGACUGUUGGAAAACCCGUCUGAAAUAGGACUCCUAAAGGUUGAACAGCAACACGUGCCAGUUGUGACCUUGACAGUGCACGACCGGCAGCAUCAGGCAAACCAAGGUGCUGUGAUCCCCAUCCACAGAAUGAUUCAUGAGCUGGAGAGCCAAGGAGUGGUCAGCAAAACCCACUCACCCUUCAACACCCCCAUCUGGCCUGUGUGCAAAUCUGACAAAGAAUGGAGAUUGACUGUAGACUAUUUUGGCUUAAAUGAAGUGAUUCCACCACUGGGCGCUGCUGUGCCAGACAUGCUGGAACUCCAGUACGAGCUGGAGUCCACGGCAGCAAAGUGGUAUGCCACUAUUGAUAUUGCUAAUGCAUUUUUCUCCAUUCCUCUGGCAGCAGAAUGCUGGUCUCAGUUUGCUUUCACCUGGAGGGGCAUGCAGUACACCUGGAACCAACUGCCCCAGGGGUGGAAACACAGCCCCACCGUCUGCCAUGGUCUGAUCCAGGCUGCACUGUAAAAGGGUGAGGCUCCAGAACACCUGCAAUACAUCAAUUAUAUCAUUGUGUGGGGGAGCACAGUGGCAGAAGUGUUUGAGAGAGGUGAGAGGAUCAUUCAGAUACUGCUAGAAGCUGGUUUCGCCAUCAAGAAGAGCAAAGUCAAGGGACCUGCCUGAGAGAUCCAGUUCCUGGGAGUCAAAUGGCGAGACGGACGGCACUAGAUUCCCACUGAGGUCAUCAACAAGAUCACAGCGAUGUCCCCACCAACCAGCAAAAAGGAAACACAAGCUUUCCUAGGUGCCAUAGGUUUUUGGAGAAUGCACAUUCCUGAGUAUAGCCAGAGUGUGAACCCUCUUUACCUGGUUACCCACAAGAAGAACAAUUUCCACUGGGGCCCUGAGCAGCAACAAGCUUUCACCCAGAUCAAGCAGGAGAUCGCUCAUGC
rnacentral:lncRNA from 1 species